UACGUAGGGACCAAGCGUUGUUCGGAUUUACUGGGCGUAAAGGGCGCGUAGGCGGCGAAUCAAGUCAGUUGUGAAAUCUCCGAGCUUAACUCGGAACGGUCAACUGAUACUGUUUUGCUAGAGUGCAGAAAGGGCAACCGGAAUUCUUGGUGUAGCGGUGAAAUGCGCAGAUAUCAGGAGGAACACCGGUGGCGAAGGCGGAUCUCUGGGCCUUACCUGACGCUGAGGAGCGAAAGCAUGGGGAGCAAACAGG
rnacentral:rRNA from 1 species